UGGGGAAUAUUGCACAAUGGGCGCAAGCCUGAUGCAGCCAUGCCGCGUGUGUGAAGAAGGCCUUCGGGUUGUAAAGUACUUUCAGCGGGGAGGAAGGGAGUAAAGUUAAUACCUUUGCUCAUUGACGUUACCCGCAGAAGAAGCACCGGCUAACUCCGUGCCAGCAGCCGCGGUAAUACGGAGGGUGCAAGCGUUAAUCGGAAUUACUGGGCGUAAAGCGCACGCAGGCGGUUUGUUAAGUCAGAUGUGAAAUCCCCGGGCUCAACCUGGGAACUGCAUCUGAUACUGGCAAGCUUGAGUCUCGUAGAGGGGGGUAGAAUUCCAGGCGUAGCGGUGAAAUGCGUAGAGAUCUGGAGGAAUACCGGUGGCGAAGGCGGCCCCCUGGACGAAGACUGACGCUCAGGUGCGAAAGCGUGGGGAGCAAACAGG
rnacentral:rRNA from 1 species